rfam:Dichanthelium oligosanthes cultivar Kellogg 1175 unplaced genomic scaffold Do_version_2_scaffold1191, whole genome shotgun sequence.
UUUUGGUUUAGUUAGGAGGCGCAUAGUGAUGGGCAUCUGAUGCUCAAUCUGGCCUUUUGAGGGGGUUCCUCAUCAAUUCUAACUAGAAGUGCCCCCCAAGCAGCCAUAGACAUUC